rnacentral:rRNA from 1 species
UGGGGAAUAUUGGACAAUGGGCGAAAGCCUGAUCCAGCAAUGCCGCGUGAGUGAUGAAGGCCUUAGGGUUGUAAAGCUCUUUUACCCGGGAUGAUAAUGACAGUACCGGGAGAAUAAGCCCCGGCUAACUCCGUGCCAGCAGCCGCGGUAAUACGGAGGGGGCUAGCGUUGUUCGGAAAUACUGGGCGUAAAGCGUGCGUAGGCGGCUUGGCAAGUCAGGGGUGAAAUCCCAGAGCUCAACUCUGGAACUGCCCUUGAAACUGCCGAGCUAGAAUCUUGGAGAGGUCAGUGGAAUUCCGAGUGUAGAGGUGAAAUUCGUAGAUAUUCGGAAGAACACCAGUGGCGAAGGCGACUGACUGGACAAGUAUUGACGCUGAGGUACGAAAGCGUGGGGAGCAAACA